rnacentral:rRNA from 1 species
GAUGAACGCUGGCGGCGUGCCUAACACAUGCAAGUCGAACGAAGCUUUUUACUCAGAGACUUCGGUCAAUGAGUAAAAAUGACUUAGUGGCGGACGGGUGAGUAACGCGUGGGCAACCUGCCCUUUACUGGGGGACAACAGUUGGAAACGACUGCUAAUACCGCAUAAGCGCACAGAACCGCAUGGUACAGUGUGAAAAGAUUUAUUGGUAAAGGAUGGACCCGCGUCUGAUUAGCUAGUUGGUGAGGUAAAGGCUCACCAAGGCGACGAUCAGUAGCCGGCCUGAGAGGGUGAACGGCCACAUUGGGACUGAGACACGGCCCAAACUCC